CUCGGGAGCCUUCGACUCCCCUGCCUUGGGGCUGGCCCAAGGCUGCAAACACAUGUUCUUUAUUUUUUGGUUCAUCUUCUUGAUUCUUUUUUCUUUUUUACAGUGAGAAGUUAAGUCUAAAAUAACCCAGUGAAGAGAUUCCCAGAGCCAACAUUCCAUCUGCACCCCUCGGGAGCCUGUCCCCCCGCCCGGGGUCUACCCACCCAUCUGAGCACCUCCCUGUCUCCUGGACGCGGGGACCUCCCAGCCGCUCUGUCCACACCGGUGUUCCCCCUCUAAAGAAGGCUAUGGUGCCGCAGUCCAGGUGGCACAGAGUGUUGGCCCCGGGUCGAAAUGCAGCUCUGUUCAAGCCCAGCGCCACUCGGACUCAUUCACCCCAGAGCCUCCGUGUGCUCAUCUAGAAACGGGUCUGACAAUGACACCUUCACAGACACCUUCACGGAGCUGUGAGAGUUGGGGGAACUGUCCAUGGGGGACCGGAGCAGUGCUGGGCGCACAGUGCCGGCUCAGAACGUGUGAGCUGCUGUCCCCCUCCCUUCCCGCUAUUCCCCUUCUCCACUGCUCCUUCCUUGCAGAGCUGGGGGUGAACCCAGGCCCUGCGCGUGCGGGUCCUGCGCGGGGCCACUCAGCGACGCCCCCAGCCUGCUGUUCUUUCCUGCCUUCUGCAAGUCUGUCUCCACGAAGGGUUCCUGCAGAUAUAUUUAGACAAAAAUAUGAUUAUGCCUGCUUAUGCUCAAAACCCUCCCCACAUUCCUAAAGAUAGCAUCCCAAAUCUCCAGCAGCCUCCCAGGUGGCCCGCUCAGCCGUCACUGCCCCACUUGUGUUGAUUCUCCUUCUUGGAACAGGUGAAAUCGUUUCCUGAUGGCAGAGCCAUCUCCCCUCCUCAGCCCUGGGCCCUGUGCCCUAUGCCCUGCUCCUGGGCCAACUCCCCACCCUGGGCUCUGCUUGCCUGGUGGCCUUCCCUGCGGUCUGCCACGAGGCGAGUUCCCGUUUCACCAGGGUCACGGGGUUCCCUUUCCUUUGGGGCUGUGUUGGCACCAGCAGCUGUGGUUGUGACACCAGGUCUCUCUGCUGCAGGUCCUCACUGCUGUCCCCUGCCCCCUGGCUGACUGGCACCACCAGAACAUGGGCAGCAGGAAUGGAUGCCACAGGAUGCCCACUGCCACCCUCCCUCCCUCCCUCCAGGACUCUAGGGCACAUUGGCUCCAAGAGCUGGAGGAAUCCCAGCAGCCUGGCCACUGCCCAGAAGGACCCAGCUGCCAGGCGCCCACCUGUAGAGACAGUGAGCCCCUGAUGGGCCGCUGACAGCCCAGGUGGCCUGUUGGGAAGCUGCUGGUCCCCACGGGCCUGUGAGCCCCGUAACUUGUGCAUCCCCCUAGGCCUUCCGUGGACACCCCAAGAGUGAGCGCUGGUUCCUGUGGGGCAGGGGACGUUGCUCAGCCUCCUGGGGUGACCUGUGGAAGGUUCCCAUGUGUUGUGAUGCUCAUGUCCCACUUCCCAGCCUGCUGCCAGCCUCCUCCAGGACCCGGUGGCUGACACUGCCCAUUUAGACCUGGCGUUGGGUCAGGGAUGGCGUCCAGGCUGGACACAGGUGUGGCCGGGGAUGUCUGAGGACGAUGGUUCUCCUUUUCCCAAGCAAGGGAAGAGGAACCAGACCUCGGGAGGACCUUUCUAUGAGACACUUGCUAGAAACCCACAAACGUCUGUGCUGGGGCUCUGACCACAUCCUGAGCCUGUGUGUGCAUUGCGGGUGUGGGGCAGCACCAUGCCAGCAUGUCUGCUUCCUGGGCCCCUGACCAGGCGUGAGCUGGCAGAAGGACGCCUGUGGGCUGGAGGCCAGGGGGCUGGGAGGCCAGGAGGCCCCGACACCGGGAAGGCGGGUCUCUCCCUACACUCGAGUCCUGCUUGGUCCCGUGCUGCGGGGCCAGGGCAAUUCAGAGAAGCAGGGACAGUGACAGGAGGGCAUUAUCCACCCAAGCCCCAGGCCUCCCUGCCCCAGCUUGGAACCAAGAGCUGAGAGACUUAAUCAAGCACGGAUUUUGAGUGGCAUUCUGAGCAUUUCCCCUCUGGAGAUCUCUUCUCGAGCUGCUGGGGCCCCACCACCUGAGCACAGGUGGGCAAUUCGUUCUCUAAACCAUGAAGGUUGAUCUCUAACUGACUCCCACCAGGAAAACUGGCAUUGGGUGAGGCAGGGCUGGUUUGGGGGGUGACUCUGGGGUGUAAUUCCCAAGUGUUUGGAGCUCACGAGACUCCAGAUUCGAAUUCCUAUGCAGAUAACUUCUCAGCGUCUCCAUCACCGGAAGAGUUCUGCAGCCUGCUGGGCCUCCCAGUUCCACCCAGAUGAAUGAGAACAUCUGGGGCCCAAGGGUAGAGACGGUGCUGGACUCCAGGACAAUGUCCACGUUCCCCGUCGCAUCCAGAGCCACAGCCAGUUCAGGACGUGCCCUGGCCAAGGGGGGCCCAGAGCAGAGCUGGUGAUUUGGGGCUGGAUGGGUACCUGACCUCAGGUCUGCCCCUCAUGUUCAGAGACGGGCACAACUGGGCCCUAGGAAGCAGAGCUCAGGAAAGUGGAGGAGAAGCCACAGCCGGCCACCCCUGCUCCCUCCAUCCUGGUGGUCUGUGCAGCCUCCUUCCGGGAGCUGCUCUCUGCAGGGCGCCUGGGGCCUCCCUCUCGUGUCACCCACAGCUGCGGGCGGCCAUUCCACUGAGCACAGGAGUGGGUCUCCGGGGAGGGGGGCCGUGCUGGGGGCCAUGGGACUGUGCUCAUUUGCCGAACAUCUGAUUCCUCUUCACCAAGCAGAAAGGUCUGCUGCUCUCCCCCAAAAUCAACGUGGUUUCCCUUUCGUGGUCUUGUAGAAUUCCCGGGAAGUGGCUUCCACCAGGGAUGCUUUCCCUGUUUCCCUUGCAUCCAAGGGUGACCACCUGACUCUUUACUACCAAGGAUGAUGCGGGGGCCCUCGGGCCAGCAGGUGCACGGAGGUCCUCCACACUCUUCUUCUCUUUCUGGCUGGAAGCUGAGGUCGUCUUCAUCCAGGAGGAUGGUGGGACCCACCCACGGGAGCAGUGAGCCUUCGUGGGCAGCCCCUGGGUGCUGAGAUCCACGGCCGAGUCUGUAUGGCCCCUGGCAUUUUGCCAACAGUAUUGAUUGACAGGCGAGGCAUUACUAUCCGCCUCUGCGGCAACUUUUGAGUUAUCGCACUAUUUUGGAGUUCUCGUGGGGAUUUCCGGGGAUUCCCCGAGAGUUCCCAUUGGUUGGGGAAGUGCAGGAGGAGGGAUUUCCGGGAGAGAUAUUUCCGGCUGGGGGUUGCUGGACAAGCCUCGUGGCGUUCGGGAGGAUUCCCCGGGAGCUGUGUGAAGUGUUUUCCUCAGUUUAAAAAUAAAGUUUGUUC
rnacentral:lncRNA from 1 species